GACGAACGCUGGCGGCGUGCUUAACACAUGCAAGUCGAACGGAAAGGCCCUGCUUUUGUGGGGUGCUCGAGUGGCGAACGGGUGAGUAACACGUGAGUAACCUGCCCUUGACUUUGGGUUAACUUCAGGAAACUGGGGCUAAUCCCGGAUAGGAGCUCCUGUUCCAUGGUGGGGGUUGGAACGUUUCGGCGGUUGGGGUUGGAUUCGCGGCUUAUCAGCUUGUUGGUGGGGUAGUGGCUUACCAAGGCUUUGACGGGUAGCCGGCCUGAGAGGGUGACCGGCCACAUUGGGACUGAGAUACGGCCCAGACUCCUACGGGAGGCAACAGUGGGGAAUAUUGCACAAUGGGCGGAAGCCUGAUGCAGCAACGCCGCGUGCGGGAUGACGGCCUUCGGGUUGUAAACCGCUUUCGCCUGUGACGAAGCGUGAGUGACGGUAAUGGGUAAAGAAGCACCGGCUAACUACGU
rnacentral:rRNA from 1 species